rnacentral:rRNA from 1 species
AGCGAACGCUGGCGGCAGGCCUAACACAUGCAAGUCGAACGAUCCUUCGGGAUAGUGGCGGACGGGUGAGUAACACGUGGGAACGUGCCCUUUGGUUCGGAACAACUCAGGGAAACUUGAGCUAAUACCGAAUGUGCCCUUCGGGGGAAAGAUUUAUCGCCAUUGGAGCGGCCCGCGUCUGAUUAGCUAGUUGGUGAGGUAAUGGCUCACCAAGGCGACGAUCAGUAGCUGGUCUGAGAGGAUGAUCAGCCACACUGGGACUGAGUCACGGCCCAGACUCCUACGGGAGGCAGCAGUGGGGAAUCUUGCGCAAUGGGCGAAAGCCUGACGCAGCCAUGCCGCGUGAAUGAUGAAGGUCUUAGGAUUGUAAAAUUCUUUCACCGGGGAGGAUAAUGACGGUACCCGGAGAAGAAGCUCCGGCUAACUUCGUGCCAGCAGCCGCCGUAAAAC